AUACUUACCUGGCAGGACAGAUAGCAUGAUCAUGAAGGUAGUUCUCUCAGGGUGAGGCUCAUCUAUUGCAUUCAGGUCAUUCUGACCCCUGCAAUUUCCUCAAGCACAGGGAAUUCAGCUGUACAAUUUCUGUUGGUAGAGGACUAUGUUCCAUGUUUCUUCU
ensembl:snRNA U1 U1 spliceosomal RNA